rfam:Rhizobium sp. Root149 contig_12, whole genome shotgun sequence.
CGCGUGCGUGAUGUCGGAACUCGACCGGCCACUGAAGCAAUGAUUUUUUCAUAGACGAACACUGCUCGGUAAUCGGGGUUGAAGCAAUGUGCAAGCUGCUGUGGAUUGCCCCG